rnacentral:rRNA from 1 species
GGGUCAGUAGGUUGGUCGUGCCACCGGUACGUACUGGUCUCACUGAUUCCUCCUUCCUGAAGAACCGUAAUGCCAUUAAUUUGGUGUUGCGGGGAAACAGGACUGUUACUUUGAAAAAAUUAGAGCGUUUAAAGCAAGCUAAAGCUUGAAUACAUUAGCAUGGAAUAAUGAAAUAGGACGAUCGAUCCUAUUUUGUUGGUUUCUAGGAUUGACGUA